AACACGUCGAACGCGGUUCGCGGUACCUAGGCCCUCAGUUUUGGAUGUCAAACUAAGGGGUAAGUUUUUUCUUAGACUUUACCUCUCGAUUACAAUCAAUUCUCAUUGUUGCUCCGUUGUUGCGUCUAAAUCUGAGAUAAUUUCAUUGAUAAAGAAACGUUCGCCGCCGCAACUGCCGCGAUUAUAACGUUCAUUCCGUCACUUUGGGCCAAAAUUAUUUUCGUUGUCUUGUUUUUUGUCCCCGAAAAAUGUGAAGGAGUGUCUUUUUGUAUGAGUUGAUUUUUCUCAUGUAAAUUAUAAUCUACAGCGAGAAAGACAUAAAAUAGCACUUUUAUUUAUUUAUUUGAGAGAAGACACAAAUACAAUCGUGACUGAGUGGGCAGAAACAAGACAACGAAAAGAAUUACCCUUUUAUCAAGGAAGGUGUCCGAUACAGCGACAGCAACAACACAACGUGAAGCUGGCCAUACACACUAGGGUACGCCUGCGCAGUUUUGCUAACUGCACAGGUAAAGCUGGCCAUAAUACACACUAGGGUACGCCUGCGCAGUUUUGCUAACUGCACAGGUAAAGCUGGCCAUACACACUAGGGUAUGCCUGCGCAGUUUUGCUAACCGCACAGGUAAAGCUGGCCAUACACACUAGGGUAUGCCUGCGCAGUUUUGCUAACUGCACAGGUAAAGCUGGCCAUACACACUAGGGUACACCUGCGCAGUUUUGCUAACUGCACAGGUAAAGCUGGCCAUACACACUAGGGUACACCUGCGCAGUUUUGCUAACUGCACAGGUAAAGCUGGCCAUACACACUAGGGUACGCCUGCGCAGUUUUGCUAACCGCACAGGUAAAGCUGGCCAUACACACUAGGGUACGCCUCCCAGUAUUGCUAACUGCACAGGUAAAGCUGGCCAUACACACUAGGGUACGCCUCCCAGUAUUGCUAACUGCACAGGUAAAGCUGGCCAUACACACUAGGGUAUGCCUGCGCAGUUUUGCUAACUGCACAGGUAAAUCUGGCCAUACACACUAGGGUACGCCUGCGCAGUUUUGCUAACCGCACAGGUAAAACUGGCCAUACACACUAGGGUACGCCUCCCAGUAUUGCUAACUGCACAGGUAAAGCUGGCCAUACACACUAGGGUACACCUGCUCAGUUUUGCUAACUGCACAGGUAAAGCUGGCCAUACACACUAGGGUAUGUCUGAGCAGUUUUGCCAACUGCACAGGUAAAACGGAGCGUGUGCGGCAUUCGCCUAUGCAGUUUCCUAACCAGCUUUACCUGUGCAGUUGAACUGUACGGGUAAAGCUGCGCAGGCGUACCCUAUUGUAUACACAGCUUAAUGCAGCUGCUGUUGAGAUCUGAAUGUCACCUUAAAGAUAACAUAUCCAGUGUAAAAACUAGACUAAUUGUAUUAUAUAGUUAGUAGUGUAUAUAGAAAGGUAUUUAUUUCUCUUCAAUGUUAAUACUUUAAUCGGGGCAAUAAUUUAUAUUUAAAAAGGUUGUUGAUGUAGUUGUUUUCUUGACACUUUUAUAUUUUAUUUGGAAUCAAAAGAUCUGAGUAAAGACUUGAACACACUGGUGCAUUUGCGAAGUAAAAAUUGGGUAUUAUUUUAUUUUAUUUUUAUUUCUUGGGAAAACUUACAGCUAAUGUAACAAAAUAGGUUUCGAAAUAAAAACAGUAAGCCAAUUACAAGUUUCCACAGGUAGAAACUGCAUAAAGUACCAAACAACUAUAACCAAACGAAUUCUAAUCGCGUAUAUAUUUAUUUUUAAAUUAUAUCGUGUCAAAUUAAUAAACAUAUUUUACGCGAUUAAAUCCCGUGAUCCAGUCAUUAAAAUUUGAAAAAUUGUUUACAUUUGAAUUAAUAAUCAUACUAAAUUUGAAUUUAUCAUAGAAAGUAGGUAAUUGUUGUACCUAACUACCUACCUAACUAGUUUAGCUUUGAAAUUGUAAGUAACAAUGUUUAGUAAAAAAUAUUUUAGUCAAUAUAUUCUUUAUUCAAAUAGGCCUAGCAACAAGCACUUUUAAAUCGUCAAAUUUUAGAAAUAUCAUCUUAAUCUAAAUAUCAGAGCAAAUUAUUGAUGCAGUUAUUAUUGUUCUAAAAAAAACAUUGAAUUAUUAUAGAUAUGGUAAACUUAAUAAUAAGAAUUUCACAAAAGGAUCGAUUUUGAACCCAUUGGAAAUGGCUCCACUGAAAUACUGCGCAAACGCACCAGCCCGAGUCUAUCUUUUAACUACAUUGUCAGCGUGUUAUUAAUCUUCUAGAAUUGUACAAUAAGUAAUUAAGAUAUAUGUGACGUUAUCUAUGAAAAGAGACCUUAUUGUCGAUGGCGCUUCCGCCGUUAUAAACGAUGCUCCGAUACAAAUACAACGCUGCGCGGCGCAGUGCGCCAUAUCGCCAUAAUGCCACAUAUCUUACUAUUUCUUUUGAUACAGGAUCAAAUUUAGUCAUUCGAUCCGUUAAUAUGAUUAACCUUUUGAACGCCACGCCUAUCGUACGCGGCGUGUCGUGAACCUUGUCGGUAUGUAUGAAAGUUGAUAUUGGGCUGUCGCCGCGCGCGUCAUAUGACUUCUGUGGCGGUCAAAAGGUUAAAACCUGGAGAUUCUUUUAGUUAAACAAAUGACCAAAAAAGUGCUUUCAUUGCCCAAAGCGGUAAAAAAGCGCAGAAAUCAAAACCAAGCGUAUUUUGUAUUCACGACAAAUGCGUUUCGUAUAGAGGAAGACUCAUGUUAGACCGGCCCGGGUCCGGGCCUGAGCUUCCGACGCUUACUUUUCUAUGACAGAUGACCGUAUUCUAUGGUGAUCACGUGAUCACCGAUCAUCUAGAUGAUCACGUGGUGCUUUCCAUAUAAAACGAAGUGCCGGAAGCUCGGGCCCGGGCCCGGCCUGGUCUAAAUUGAGUCAUCCCUAAGAUCUAUUCUAAACCGCUGGUUCUAUCUCAGCGCUGGGAAAUGAAGGUCUUGGUCACUUUUUCGACGUACAUCAAAAUUUCAGUUUAUAAUUUACAUAGUGGUAAAAACAACACAAAUUGAAAUAUUUAACAAAAUAAUUUAUAUUAUUUUCUAGCUGUAGCUCAUAAUAUAAAUAUUUUUUGAAAUACACUUUUUUCGUGUGCUGUUUAACUUCUUUUGGCUUGUAACAAAGUGUCCCUAAUUAAUAAUUAUGUACUUUACAUACAUAGUAAAAUAAGAUCAAUGUGGGUUAGACCGGCAUACAAAAUAUAUCACAGGUAAGGCCGUCAUAGAGUAAUAACUCUUGUAAUUUAUACAUUUUCGCUCAGACAAAGUCAGAAAAGAAGAGCUUCACUCUUUCUGCUUUAUCGACCUUUUAUAAACCUUCUGUAAGUGUAAAAGCGACGAAAGAGCGUGUAGACUGUCUUCUCUUGUAGACGGUCUUGCCCGCAUCGAACUUAUAUCUUUCUAGAAGAUUGAAAACACGUAAAUUUUCGACCCGGUCAUAUCAUUUUUAUACUUACAGGUUAAAUUAAUAUUACUGUUAUUAAUAGUACCGAUACGAUCAUAUUAUAAUUAUUACGAAAUACAUGUGUGAAAUCUG